GAUGAACGCUGGCGGCGUGCCUAAUACAUGCAAGUCGAGCGAACAGACGAGGAGCUUGCUCCUCUGACGUUAGCGGCGGACGGGUGAGUAACACGUGGAUAACCUACCUAUAAGACUGGGAUAACUUCGGGAAACCGGAGCUAAUACCGGAUAAUAUAUUGAACCGCAUGGUUCAAUAGUGAAAGACGGUUUUGCUGUCACUUAUAGAUGGAUCCGCGCCGCAUUAGCUAGUUGGUAAGGUAACGGCUUACCAAGGCAACGAUGCGUAGCCGACCUGAGAGGGGGAUCGGCCACACUGGAACUGAGACACGGUCCAGACUCCUACGGGAGGCAGCAGUAGGGAAUCUUCCGCAAUGGGCGAAAGCCUGACGGAGCAACGCCGCGUGAGUGAUGAAGGUCUUCGGAUCGUAAAACUCUGUUAUUAGGGAAGAACAAAUGUGUAAGUAACUAUGCACGUCUUGACGGUACCUAAUCAGAAAGCCACGGCUAACUACGUG
rnacentral:rRNA from 1 species